CGGGUUCAGCCCUAGAAAAGACAAAAAGACAAAAAAUAAAAUAAAAUAAAAAAUAGAACAGAAGGCGAGCUUAGCACCCUGCCGCGGCUCCAGGUACACACAGCAAACCUGCAUGCUCACAGUCAGGGUAUCAUUCCCUUACACAUUCCGCACAUGCAGGCACACGCAGACACACGCAGGCACACGACUCUGUGGACUGAGUACCCAAAGCACUCGGCACAGAGCCCGGCACACAGAAGGUGCUCAGUAAAUGUCGGUCGUUUCGAGGAGGCUGCCCGUUUCACAGCCCAACACCCAGCAGCAGAUGCGUGGUGGGGGCCUCCAGCCCCUGGGAUCCUGCCAGCUCCUCCUUAAGACUCUGCGGAGGGGUCACCUCCACUGAGAAGCCCUCCUCCCAGCCCCACGCAGACCAGCCUCACCCAGUGGAACACUCGCAGCAAGUUUCUCUGGGAGGCCGGGAGGCUGUGAAGCCCUGGGUUGGGAGCAGGCGCUGGGGCAGGGCGGAGUGUUGGUGGUGCGGCUAAGGGAGCAGCUCUCCAGCACUCCCUGGGGACCAGGAAGCUCCCUGCGUCCGGAGCCCAUCUUGACAAAUACUUAGGCGGAUCCAAUUGCCUCUGCUCCAACCAGUUCCACCCACCCACGCCCCUUGUGUGGCAGGAGGAAGAGAGUGAGCAGGACUUUUGCCCCCUGCCUGCUCCUCCAGCUUCCAGUUCAGAUCCUACAGUGUCUCCCAGCAACAUCUGCCCAGGAUGCGGGAAGCCGGGGCCCCCAGGGGCCAGGGCCAGUCCCCCAGAGGGACGCGUGCUCUGAGCCAGCCCCAGAUCAUCCUGCUCACCUACGUCCUCUCGGCCCUGGAGCUCACCUGCCUCUUCAUGCAUUUCUCCGUCCUGCCUUACCUGUCCCGGAGGCUGGGUCUGGAUUCUGUCGCCUUUGGCUACCAGCAGACUCUGUUUGGCGUGCUUCAGCUGCUGGGCGGGCCCGUGUUUGGCAGGUUCGCAGACCAGCGCGGGGCGCGGGCAGCCUUCACACUCUCCUUCCUGGCAUCCUCUGGGCUCUACCUGCUCCUGGCGGCUGCCUGCAGCCCGGCCCUGCCCGGCGUGACCUUACUCUUUGCCUCGCGCCUGCCAGGGGCACUCAUGCACACGCUGCCAGCUGCCCAAAUGGUCCUUGCGGACCUGUCUGCGCCUGAGGAGCGGCCCACGGCCCUCAGCCGGCUCGGCCUGUGCUUCGGGGUCGGUGUCAUCUUCGGCUCUCUUCUCGGCGGGACCCUAAGCAGCUCGUGCGGGAUUCAGUGUCCGGUCAUUGUGGCUCUUGUGGUCAGCCUCCUGGGAGCCGUCCUCAGCUUCACCUGCAUCCCCACCAACACCAAAGGCGCCAGCGACCACGCCCAGCCUGUCCCACCAGGCAGGACCAAGGCCAGCGUGUUUGACCUGAAGGCCAUCAGCCGCCUGCUGCUGCAGCCCGGCGUCCUGCCGGUGUUUCUCGUCAAGGUCAUUUCCGGCUUCCCCUCAGGGCUCUUCACUGUCAUGUUCUCUAUUAUAUCCAUGGACUUCUUCCAACUGGAGGCCGCCCAGGCCAGCUACCUCAUGUCCUUCUUCGGGGUCCUCCAGAUGGUGAGUGGGUGCUGGGCGCAUGGGGGCGGGGGCCCCCGCCCUCCCAGCCUCCCCCACGUGGCGGGCCUGUGUCAGGGGCCCAGGCCGGGCACCUGCCGGACUCGGUUCCCCAGGAGCACGCGUGCCGGACGCACCCCCCACCCCAGGAACACCUUAGCUCAGGCCAGACUCCUCUCCCUGCUCGUGGCUCCCAUGCCUGGGUCUGCGCCCAGGUCCCCCCCCGCCACCCCCGUCUGCUGGAGGCCCUGUCCGGGGUGGGAGGAGGCUGGGACCCCCGGCCUCCAUCCAGAAGCAGUCGGAGGCCCCCGGUCCGCCCCGUGUACAUCUGGGCUCCGGCCGUGGGCGGGACGGAGAGGGGAGCAGACCCCGGGUGGGGGGCAUGUUACGGGGAGAAUGGCCAGGCUCUGUGCCACUGGGCGUGUGACCGUGGCGGGGACAGGUGGCGACGUGCCGCCGCCACCCGGGACGUCUGCCUGACAGCCGGAGCGCAGGAGGAGCUAUUCUGGGAUCUGCUGGAGCGGCCGAGAGGGCUCCGGGCUUCUCCGGAAGCGGGUGGCAUUCCCGGCUCCUCCAGGCCAUCUGCUCCCUGUGCCUCUCGGCCCAGGACCCGUCCAGGCCCUGGUACUAAAAUAGCCACUGCGGGGAGGGGUCAGCCCCCACCCCACGGGGGGCCCUCGCUCUGAGGACCGGGAAGGGCCACCCUGGUGGGGAAGAAAAGAGAUAAACAGAAAACAGCAACAACAGCGAUAAGACGCUGAAGUCGGAGGCCAGCAGAGCCCUGUUCUAAAUGGCUACUCCCAGCUGACGGGUCCAGGCCACCAGCCCAAGCUUGUCCUGGGCCCUCUGCACGCAGGAGACUCCUCCAGACGCUCGGGGACAGACCUGGGUGGGCCUGCCCUGGACGGGCUUGGGCUCCAGCAGCUGGCACGAUGGUGACAGAUGUGGCGGGAUGCAGGAGAGAGCCACGGCGGGCAAGGCCUGGGGACCGCAGCACGGGCUGGGCCGGCGGAGGAGCCUGGGGAGGGCAGGAAUCCAUAGAGCGGGGUGGGGUGCUGGACCCCGGGCCCCAAGUUCCGUGAGGGAAGAAGGGGGCAGCCGAGGCCCUGAGCUGUGUCUGGACCCCCCUGGGGAGGGGCAGGUUGGCGGCUGGGUUCUGUGUCACGGGGAGAGCCCUGAGCCGGCCUCGUCGGGUGCUCCCCACCCCCGCCAGGGUGGCCGGUCUGCGGGGUGACUCCUGCCUCCCCCACAGCUGGGCUCCACCUGCUGCUUCCAUCGCAAACCGUUCCCUGCCCCCCCCCGCCGAGGUGCUGGGUGCAGCCUGAUCCCAAGGAGGACCCAACGUCCCCCUCCCCAGCUCCCUUGAGGGGGUUGUUGGGUUGGGGUCUCAGCGGAUGGCAGCCCAGGUGGCCCUAACACGAGGGGACCCUCCCGGUGGUGGGCCUGCAGCCCUCGCUCCCUCCUGCGGUGAGAGCUCCCCUCGGCCUUCAUCUGCGCCCCAGCAGGGUGCGGCCGCCGUGAUGGGGCGCUCCCGUCUUCCGGGGGGAGACAGAGGUGAGCCCCCACCCAGCAGCUGACCCGUCAGGGGGGACAAGGACUCAGGAAGGAGGAUCAGGGCCCUUGGCGGGGCCGAGAUGCUGCUGCAGAUGGAGAGGCCUGGAGUGGGAGAACCACAGGGCAGGGAAGGGCCGCAGGUGCAAAGGCCCUGGGGUGGCUGGGCCGGCCUGAGGGGAAAGGAAGGGGCUCUGAAGACGUGUGGGGGGUGGUCUGCAGGGCCAGGAAGGACCCGGGUUUACUCACAUCCACUCAUAAACGGAUGUGGCCCUACCAGCCCCCACGGCCCCCACCUGGCUGCGUCAUAGCUGAGGUGGGCUUGGAACUGGCUGCUUGGGGCCAGUGUGACCUCAGAGGCAGGUGGUGGCGGCUGGGCCAGGGCCAGGGCGGUGGGGAGUGGGGCCGGUGACCCGACACGGUCUCCGGGGGGAGGCUUGGGAGAGAGUGCGACGUCUGGUGAGUUUGUCUCUGUGGUUUCAAGGAAUAACCCAGACGCACAGGAGUUGAGGCUGUUUGUAAGCCGGGUCCUGGUCCCAGGGUCUGUCUGAAAAGCCACGGGAGGUUUCAGCCUCCUCCUGGGCUGGUGCUUCUCGCUCAGGAAGAGAAACUUGCCAAGGGGAGACCUUCCCUUUAAACAAACAGCCGAGAUAAAGCAAAGGCGAGAGUCGGAGUUUUUGCCUCAGAGAGGGCGUCUCGGGUUCCGGUUUGAAAGAGUUUCAUGAUGCCAGGCCGGCCGGGAGAACAGUGAUCCAUCGGGCUCCCCGGGCUGGGCCCACCCCAGGUCACAGCCCAGCCAGGCACUGGGCACUGACCCCUGGCCCCCGUGGGCGCUGCUCCAACCCACUGAGCCCCGGGCACUUCCUGCCUGCGGAGGAGGCCAGGGGACCAGAUAGCGAGCCUCACCCUGGCCUGGGAACAGCCUGAGGGCUGGCCUUGCCCUCUGAGUCACAUCCCCUGUGUCCCGGGUGUCCCUGCUCCCAGCCCCUCCUCCCACCAUCACCGAGAGGAGCCGAGGGCAGGAAGGCGAGCCCCAGCCUGACUCUGGCUCCUGGCGGCUGACCCUGGGGAGGGCCAGGAGGGCACCGCCAGGAGAGGAGCGAGGGUGGGGGCUCCUCGGGGAGCCUGGCUGCCCCCUCGUCGGGGGCCCCAGCACCCCAGCUCCACCCCAGCUCCGCACCCCCGCCAGCUCUGGGACCUCGGGCAGGGACACCAGCCCUGGGCCUCAGGUCACUUCCGUCCCUGGGGUGGCAGCCUCCUGGGUGGGGGAGGACACAGGGCUCCUGCCUGCUGCCGGGGACCCUGCUGCCGGGGACCCGGCCCUGUGAUGAAAAUCUGUUUAUCGCGCCGGCAACUGCAGAGAUGAGCUUAGUUUUGAAUGUGGAACUAGGACCUCUGAGCAGCUGGCUUGGGGCGGGGGGUGUCUGUAUGUGUAUGUGUCUGUGCGUGUGCUCUUGUGGGGGGGUGCCUAUGUGUGCAUCCACGAGUGUGUGUGUCUGCGUGUGUGUGAGGUGCCCAGGCUGCCUGCCCCAUCUCCCCAGGGACCUCGGGGCCGUUGUGGGUACUGCAGGCCCACCCUUCCGCCCUGUGCCUGGUCACUGCGGGGCACAGCGGCAGGGCCCCGGGGGCUACAGAUGGUGGGGGAGGCACCGCAGCCGCCACAGCCCAGAGCCCCUCUCCCCCGUCCCCAGGUCAUCCAGGGCCUGGUCAUCGGGCGGCUGAGCAGCCACUUCUCCGAGGGAGCCCUGCUCCGGGCCAGCGUGCUGGUCUUCAGCCUGGUGGGAUUGGCCAUGGCACUGAUGACCCAUGUCUUCCACUUCUGCCUCCUGAUGCCCGGCCUGGUCUUCAGCCUGUGUACCCUCAACGUGGUCACCGACAGCCUGCUGACCAAGGCCGUGUCGGCCUCAGACACCGGGACCAUGUUGGGCCUCUGUGCCUCCGUGCAGCCGCUGAUGCGAACGCUAGGGCCCACCCUGGGCGGCCUCCUGUACCGCAGCUUUGGAGUCCCUGCCUUUGGCCACGUGCAGUUUGCGGUCAACUUCCUUCUCCUCCUGGUCCUCUGGAGGCAGCCCAUACCCCGGAAGACAGACAAAGCCCCAUGACCGCAGCCCCCAGGCACCGACUGGCAAUAAACUCCAUCAGAACC